ACUUAAAUAGUUUAUUGAAAAAUUAUAAAUUGUGGAUUUAUGGAGGUAUAGUGAUAUACUUUAGGUA
rnacentral:tRNA from 1 species